UACGGGGGGGGCAAGCGUUGUUCGGAAUUACUGGGCGUAAAGGGCUCGUAGGCGGCCAACUAAGUCGGAUGUGAAAUCCCCAAGCUUAACUUGGGAACUGCAUCCGAUACUGGAUGGCUUGAAUCCGGGAGAGGGAUGCAGAAUUCCAGGUGUAGCGGUGAAAUGCGUAGAUAUCUGGAGGAAUACCGGUGGCGAAGGCGGCAUCCUGGACCGGCAUUGACGCUGAGGAGCGAAAGCUAGGGGAGCAAACAGGG
rnacentral:rRNA from 1 species